GUGAAGGAUGAGGACCAGAUUGCAGAAGAGAUUCGAAUGUUGCCUGAUGUUGUUGUGCCGGGGAAGGCAGGAUCUGAGAUCGUUGAGCGCCUGAAGGAGAAGAAGCACACGGAGCACAUGAAGGCUGUGGCCGAUAUGCAAAUGAGCCUGGCCGCUCUCAGUCAGGACUUUGAGAUGCUCAUCAAGCACAGAGCAGAAGACCUCUUGAGGAAGAUGUCACGAUGUGACGAGAACGUGGAGAGGCAGAUGCGGAGAAUGGAGAACAUCUCCGACCUCGAGAUGCUCAGCCUUCAGGAUGUGAACGGGCUCCGGGAUUCCGUGAGUCGGGAGUUUCAGGAGAAGCGGAAGCUGAUCGAGGAGCUGGACCAAGCGCUGAACCAGUACGAACGUGAGAGAACGGCCACGGUGAGGGCCGCACGUGCGAACGAACGCUGGAGCGCGUGGCUGUCGAGGCGAACUUGGCAUUUGAGUCGCUCGUUCGUUGCGUCCCUUUUUCCGAGGCUGCUGCUCUGCUGAAGAGGUGCGCCGGGAUCCUGGAGACGAUCGGCCACGCGAGGCCACGCGAUAUCCGACGGCUCGCGGACAGCGAAGCCACGGUAGGCCUCCUCCGUGUCGCCGACCUCUGCGACGGAGGCCCGGUCGUGCAGAGCAGCACACCGGAGAGCAUGAGGCUCUCUCCCCUCAGGCGGUGAACCGGGCGGCGCUGGAGAACCGGCGCGCCGCUGCCCAGCUGGUGGCCGACCUGACCGAGAGGCACCUGCGGAGCCGGCAGCUCCGCGGACUUCGCUGGGAGGGACGGGUGCAGGAGUGGAGGAGCCUCAAGGUCAGAGCUGCGGUUGACAGGUUCAGGUAUGUCGGUGCGUUACGAGACAAGGCAACGCAACAGAGCGCGGCGUGGCGCAGCGUGGCGCAGCGUGGCGCAGCGUGGCACAGCAUGGCACAGCGUAGCACUGCAUAACACGCACCGUUUGUGUGUUGACCAGUAAAUCCACGUACCCCAGAAAAAAGGACUGACUCACGCAGCUCAGUAAACACCACGCGUGCUGGUUUUGGUUCCCCGAACAAAUACUUACAUGCACCAUAUUGUGUGUUAUACCGUGCGAUUAGGGAAUUCAUGGACAAGCUGCCCACGCAACACCUCUGCAAAGUGGAGGUGACGCUGAAGAGCUUGAGGAUGGCGCAGGAGUCCCUGGGGGAGGAGCGCAUGGCGGCCUUGCAGGCACUCAGGUGACGUCCAUGAGGUGUAUCCCAGAGGGCGGUGGCCCGGAGAGCGUUAACUACUGUCGCUUGUGCACAGCAGUACCGAUAGAACUUUUUCCGGUUCCUUCCUUCCCAGCUCCUUCACGCCCCCAACCUGCUCCGAGGCGCUGGUGGCCCAGUGGUGCUCCUCUCUGGCUGCAGUCGAUGAAAAGAUCGGUGGGUAGCUCCCGUCUUUACCGUAUCUGCUCCGUUCCAGCCGUUUCGCCAUUUCUGUCCUCUGUUCCAGCUCUUUGCAUUUGCUCCGGGUCUCCAGACC
rnacentral:lncRNA from 1 species